rnacentral:rRNA from 1 species
ACGAACGCUGGCGGCGUGCUUAACACAUGCAAGUCGAACGGAAAGGCCCUGCUUGCAGGGUACUCGAGUGGCGAACGGGUGAGUAACACGUGGGUGAUCUGCCCUGCACUUCGGGAUAAGCCUGGGAAACUGGGUCUAAUACCGGAUAGGAGCCAUCUUUAGUGUGAUGGUUGGAAAGUUUUUUCGGUGUAGGAUGAGCUCGCGGCCUAUCAGCUUGUUGGUGGGGUAAUGGCCUACCAAGGCGGCGACGGGUAGCCGGCCUGAGAGGGUGGACGGCCACAUUGGGACUGAGAUACGGCCCAGACUCCUACGGGAGGCAGCAGUGGGGAAUAUUGCACAAUGGGCGCAAGCCUGAUGCAGCGACGCCGCGUGGGGGAUGACGGCCUUCGGGUUGUAAACUCCUUUCGCUAGGGACGAAGCUUUUUGUGACGGUACCUAGAUAAGAAGCACCGGCUAACUACGU